rnacentral:tRNA from 1 species
GGUGGCUCACUGGUAGAGCACUUGCCUUGCAUGCAUGAGGCCCUGGGUUCAAUUCCUCAGCACCA